UGCGGCUGGAUCCCCUCCUUUCUAAGGAUAUAUUCGGAACAUCUUCUUCAGAAGAUGCGGAAUAACGUGACAUAUUGUAUUCAGUUUUGAAUGUUUGUUCAUUCAAAUUAAUGGGCCUAUAGCUCAGCUGGUUAGAGCGCACGCCUGAUAAGCGUGAGGUCGGUGGUUCGAGUCCACUUAGGCCCACCAUUAAUUUAAUACCUGUUUGGGGGCUUAGCUCAGCUGGGAGAGCGCCUGCUUUGCACGCAGGAGGUCAGCGGUUCGAUCCCGCUAGUCUCCACCAUUAUUUGUACAUUGAAAACUAGAUAAGUAAGUAAAAUAUAGAUUUUACCAAGCAAAACCGAGUGAAUAAAGAGUUUUAAAUAAGCUUGAAUUCAUAAGAAAUAAUCGCUAGUGUUCGAAAGAACACUCACAAGAUUAAUAACGCGUUUCCUGUAGGAUGGAAACAUAGAUUAAGUUAUUAAGGGCGCACGGUGGAUGCCUUGGCACUAGAAGCCGAUGAAGGACGUUACUAACGACGAUAUGCUUUGGGGAGCUGUAAGUAAGCUUUGAUCCAGAGAUUUCCGAAUGGGGAAACCCGG
rnacentral:misc_RNA from 1 species